CCUACGGGAGGCAGCAGUGGGGAAUAUUGGACAAUGGGCGAAAGCCUGAUCCAGCCAUGCCGCGUGUGUGAAGAAGGCCUUCGGGUUGUAAAGCACUUUCAGUGGGGAAGAAAGCCUUGGGGCUAAUACCCUCGAGGAAGGACAUCACCCACAGAAGAAGCACCGGCUAACUCCGUGCCAGCAGCCGCGGUAAUACGGAGGGUGCGAGCGUUAAUCGGAAUUACUGGGCGUAAAGCGCGCGUAGGCGGUCUGAUAAGCCGGUUGUGAAAGCCCCGGGCUCAACCUGGGAACGGCAUCCGGAACUGUGAGGCUAGAGUGCAGGAGAGGAAGGUAGAAUUCCCGGUGUAGCGGUGAAAUGCGUAGAGAUCGGGAGGAAUACCAGUGGCGAAGGCGGCCUUCUGGACUGACACUGACGCUGAGGUGCGAAAGCGUGGGUAGCAAACAGGAUUAGAUACCCGAGUAGUC
rnacentral:rRNA from 1 species